rnacentral:rRNA from 1 species
UACAACAUAACGUUAAUGCACUAGAUCCCAUUAUAACUUCAUAGUUAAGCGCACUCAUGCUAGAGUAGUACUGGGAUGGGUGACUGCCCGAGAAGUCCUAGUGUUUUAC